rnacentral:rRNA from 1 species
UACGUAGGGGGGCAAGCGUUGUCCGGAAUCAUUGGGCGUAAAGAGCGCGUAGGCGGCCCUGUAAGUCCGCUGUGAAAGUCAAGGGCUCAACCCUUGGAUGCCGGUGGAUACUGCAGGGCUAGAGUCCGGAAGAGGCGAGUGGAAUUCCUGGUGUAGCGGUGAAAUGCGCAGAUAUCAGGAGGAACACCGAUGGCGAAGGCAGCUCGCUGGGACGGUACUGACGCUGAGGCGCGAAAGCGUGGGGAGCAAACAGG